UAUGAUUUGCAUAGUAACAAGGUAUGAAAUAACUAUUUAUGCUGAAAAUAAAUUACGAAAAUAAAAUAAAACCAAAAAUAAACUUAAAUAUAAAAUUACACUAAAAUAGUAAAAAUAAUAGAAUAAACUAUAGAGUUGCCUAAGUACAAUAUUAGAAGAAGGUGCAUCAAAAUGGACUGAUCAAAUUCCCCCACACUUGAACUUUUGCACUCCGA
rnacentral:lncRNA from 1 species